CCUACGGGUGGCAGCAGUAGGGAAUCUUGCGCAAUGGGCGAAAGCCUGACGCAGCAACGCCGCGUGAUUGAUUAAGGCAUUCGGGAUGUUAAGCUCUGUCAGUGGGGGCGAAACUUCACGGUACCCACAGAGGAAGCAUCUGCUAAAUCCGUGCCAGCAGCCUCGGUACUACGGAGGGUGCAAGCGUUGUCCGGAAUCAUUGGGCUUAACGAGUUCGUAGGUGGCAUAUGAAGUCUGGUGUUAAAUGCAGAAGCUCAACUUCUGUUCGGCACUUGAUACUGGUAAGCUUGAACGCGGUAGAGGUAAAGGGAAUGCCUGGGGUAGCGGUGAAAUGCGUAGAUAUCAGGAGGAACAUCGGUGGCGUAGGCGCUUUACUGGGCCGUAAAUGACGCUGAGGAGCGAAAGCCGGGGUAGCAAACGGGAUUAGAUACCCUGGUAGUC
rnacentral:rRNA from 1 species